AUUGAACGCUGGCGGCAUGCCUUACACAUGCAAGUCGAACGGUAACGCGGGGCAACCUGGCGACGAGUGGCGAACGGGUGAGUAAUACAUCGGAACGUGCCCAGUAGUGGGGGAUAGCCCGGCGAAAGCCGGAUUAAUACCGCAUACGACCUACGGGUGAAAGCGGGGGAUCGCAAGACCUCGCGCUAUUGGAGCGGCCGAUGUCAGAUUAGCUAGUUGGUGGGGUAAAAGCCUACCAAGGCGACGAUCUGUAGCUGGUCUGAGAGGACGACCAGCCACACUGGGACUGAGACACGGCCCAGACUCCUACGGGAGGCAGCAGUGGGGAAUUUUGGACAAUGGGGGCAACCCUGAUCCAGCCAUGCCGCGUGCGGGAAGAAGGCCUCGGUGUAACGCUUUGUCGGG
rnacentral:rRNA from 1 species